rnacentral:misc_RNA from 1 species
GAUGAAGAACGUAGCGAAAUGCGAUAAGUAACGCGAAUUGCAGAAUUCAGUGAGUCAUCGAAUCUUUGAACGCACAUUGCGCCCUGUGGUAUUCCGCAGGGCAUGCCUGUUCGAGCGUCAUUUCAACCCUCAAGCCCCGCUUGGUGUUGGGCCCCGCCCGCCGUGGCCGGCCCUAAAGACAGUGGCGGCGCCGCCUGGCCCUCAGCGUAGUACAGCUCUCGCUCCAGGGUCCGGCGGCCGCCUGCCAGAACCCCCCCAACUCUGUGGUUGACCUCGGAUCAGGUAGGGAUACCCGCUGAACUUAAGCAUAUCAAUAAGCGGAGGA